rnacentral:rRNA from 1 species
GAGUGGCAGACGGGUGAGUAACGCGUGGGAAUCUACCGUGCCCUGCGGAAUAGCUCCGGGAAACUGGAAUUAAUACCGCAUACGCCCUACGGGGGAAAGAUUUAUCGGGGUAUGAUGAGCCCGCGUUGGAUUAGCUAGUUGGUGGGGUAAAGGCCUACCAAGGCGACGAUCCAUAGCUGGUCUGAGAGGAUGAUCAGCCACAUUGGGACUGAGACACGGCCCAAACUCCUACGGGAGGCAGCAGUGGGGAAUAUUGGACAAUGGGCGAAAGCCUGAUCCAGCAAUGCCGCGUGCAGGAUGAAGGCCUUCGGGUUGUAAACUGCUUUUGUACGGAACGAAAAAGCUUCUCCUAAUACGAGAGGCCCAUGACGGUACCGUAAGAAUAAGCACCGGCUAACUACGUGCCAGCAGCCGCGGUAAUACGGAGGGUGCAGGCGUUAUCCGGAUUUAUUGGGUUUAAAGGGUCCGUAGGCGGAUCUGUAAGUCAGUGGUGAAAUCUCACAGCUUAACUGUGAAACUGCCAUUGAUACUGCAGGUCUUGAGUAAGGUAGAAGUGGCUGGAAUAAGUAGUGUAGCGGUGAAAUGCAUAGAUAUUACUUAGAACACCAAUUGCGAAGGCAGGUCACUAUGUCUUAACUGACGCUGAUGGACGAAAGCGUGGGGAGCGAACAGGAUUAGAUACCCUGGUAGUCCACGCCGUAAACGAUGCUAACUCGUUUUUGGGUU